rnacentral:rRNA from 1 species
UGGGCAUGCGGCGCAUUAGCUAGUCGGCGGGGUAACGGCCCACCGAGGCGACGAUGCGUAGGGGUUCUGAGAGGAAGGUCCCCCACACUGGUACUGAGACACGGACCAGACUCCUACGGGAGGCAGCAGUGAGGAAUAUUGGUCAAUGGGCGGGAGCCUGAACCAGCCAAGUCGCGUGAGGGAAGACGGUCCUAUGGAUUGUAAACCUCUUUUGCCGGGGAGCAACGGGGUCCUUGCGAGGGCCUAAUGAGAGUACCCGGAGAAAAAGCAUCGGCUAACUCCGUGCCAGCAGCCGCGGUAAUACGGAGGAUGCGAGCGUUAUCCGGAUUUAUUGGGUUUAAAGGGUGCGUAGGCGGGCUGUUAAGUCAGCGGUCAAAUGUCGGGGCUCAACCCCGGCCUGCCGUUGAAACUGGUGGCCUCGAGUGGGCGAGAAGUAUGCGGAAUGCGUGGUGUAGCGGUGAAAUGCAUAGAUAUCACGCAGAACUCCGAUUGCGAAGGCAGCAUACCGGCGCCCGACUGACGCUGAGGCACGAAAGCGUGGGUAUCGAACAGGAUUAGAUACCCUGGUAGUCCACGCAGUAAACGAUGAAUGCUAGCUGUCCGGGGCUUCGGUCCUGG